GCCUCGCUUUCUGUCUGAGGCGUGGGCACACAACGUCCCCAGGGAGCCUUCUCCCAUCAGCCUCGCCCUGGGGCCCGCUGUCUUCAAACACACACCCGACCCUCAGAAGGCACCCUAAGCAAGCAGCAGCCUUUCGGGGAGCGCACAGGCCACUGUACCGUCCGCUCUCCAGCCUCAGGUUUGGUGGCUCCCUUCCGGCUCCAGUGGAACCUGCCCUUGCAGAGCCCUGAACACACAGCAUGGCUUCAGACAGCCUCACCUUGUACCUGCUACCGGCUCUCCUUGGACUGUCACUCUACCCACCCCUACUCCACGAUUGCGUGAUAAACCCCUAUUCAGCCUUCAGAGCCCGCUUUACAGAGUCCCACUGUGUAGUCCAGGCUGGCCACAGACUAGAGGCGCUCCUCCUGCUUCUCUGAGGCUUCGAUCACAGACCCUGGGGAGAGGUGUGACAUCAACACCAGACAGAAGGAUCCGCGGUCAAAAGAAAUCUUGGGGAGCGGCGAAGGCCAGAGAGAGGCAGCGAGACGGCUCCGCGGUGGAGCCAGACUGAGUUUCGACCCCGGGGCAGGACGAAGGCAGGCCUUUCCUCCCACUGCCUGGUUACUGCCGCCACGACAGACCCUUCGGG
rnacentral:lncRNA from 1 species